GAUGAACGCUGGCGGCGUGCCUAAUACAUGCAAGUCGAGCGAACGGACGAGAAGCUUGCUUCUCUGAUGUUAGCGGCGGACGGGUGAGUAACACGUGGAUAACCUACCUAUAAGACUGGGAUAACUUCGGGAAACCGGAGCUAAUACCGGAUAAUAUUUUGAACCACAUGGUUCAAAAGUGAAAGACGGCCUUGCUGUCACUUAUAGAUGGAUCCGCGCUGCAUUAGCUAGUUGGUAAGGUAACGGCUUACCAAGGCAACGAUGCAUAGCCGACCUGAGAGGGUGAUCGGCCACACUGGAACUGAGACACGGUCCAGACUCCUACGGGAGGCAGCAGUAGGGAAUCUUCCGCAAUGGGCGAAAGCCUGACGGAGCAACGCCGCGUGAGUGAUGAAGGUCUUCGGAUCGUAAAACUCUGUUAUUAGGGAAGAACAUAUGUGUAAGUAACUGUGCACAUCUUGACGGUACCUAAUCAGAAAGCCACGGCUAACUACGUG
rnacentral:rRNA from 1 species